UAAUACGGAGGGUGCGAGCGUUGUCCGGAAUCACUGGGCGUAAAGGGCGCGUAGGCGGUUCGGUAAGUUGCUGGUGAAAUCCCGGGGCUCAACCCCGGGGCUGCCGGCAUGACUGCCGGACUUGAGCACGGUAGGGGCAGAUGGAAUUCCCGGUGUAGCGGUGGAAUGCGUAGAUAUCGGGAAGAAUACCAGUGGCGAAGGCGUUCUGCUGGGCCGUUGCUGACGCUGAGGCGCGACAGCGUGGGGAGCAAACAGGAUUAGAUACCCUGGUAGUCCACGCCGUAAACGAUGGACACUAGGCGUCGGGGGGAGCGACCCUCCCGGUGCCGUCGCUAACGCAGUAAGUGUCCCGCCUGGGGAGUACGGCCGCAAGGCUG
rnacentral:rRNA from 1 species